rnacentral:rRNA from 1 species
UAGGGAAUCUUCGGCAAUGGACGAAAGUCUGACCGAGCAACGCCGCGUGAGUGAAGAAGGUUUUCGGAUCGUAAAACUCUGUUGUUAGAGACGAACAAGGACGUUAGUAACGGAACGUCCCCUGACGGUAUCUAACCAGAAAGCCACGGCUAACUACGUGCCAGCAGCCGCGGUAAUACGUAGGUGGCAAGCGUGGUCCGGAUUUAUUGGGCGUAAAGCGAGCGCAGGCGGUUUCUUAAGUCUGAUGUGAAAGCCCCCGGCUCAACCGGGGAGGGUCAUUUGAAACUGGGAGACUUGAGUGCAGAAGAGGCUAGUGGAAUUCCAUGUGUAGCGGUGAAAUUCGUAGAUAUCUGGAAGAACACCAGUGGCGAAGGCGGCUCUCUGGUCUGUAACUGACGCUGAGGCUCGAAAGCGUGGGGAGCAAACAGG